rnacentral:rRNA from 1 species
GAGGAAUAUUGGUCAAUGGACGCAAGUCUGAACCAGCCACGUCGCGUGAAGGAAGACGGCCCUACGGGUUGUAAACUUCUUUUAUACGGGAAUAAAGUGCCCCACGUGUGGGGUUUUGCAUGUACCGUAUGAAUAAGGAUCGGCUAACUCCGUGCCAGCAGCCGCGGUAAUACGGUGGAUCCGAGCGUUAUCCGGAUUUAUUGGGUUUAAAGGGUGCUCAGGCGGGGGGUUAAGUCGGCGGAGAAAUUUUGCAGCUCAACUGUAAAAGUGCUUUAGAAACGGGUGCCCGUGAGUGCGGAUGGGGUAGGCGGAAUUUGGGGUGUAGGGGUGAAAUGCAUAGAUAUCACGAGGAACUCCGAUUGCGCAGGCAGCUUACCAAGCCGUAACUGACGCUCAAGCACGAAGGCGUGGGGAUCAAACA